rnacentral:tRNA from 1 species
GGCCGCGCGGGCGGCGGCGGCUUCGUGGCGAGCUUCGCGGGCUUGCGGGCGGGCUCCGGCACCCCGCGCUCCGGCUCGGGCGCGGCCU